GUGGCGGAACUGGCAGACGCGCUAUCUUCAGGCGGUAGUGGAUUUAUCCGUGAGAGUUCAAAUCUCUCCAACCGCACCA
rnacentral:tRNA from 1 species